GCUGCAGAUGUCAUGGGAACUGACAUUGCUUUCCUGCUAAUGUGCUUUCCUCACCAUACUCUAGAAGUCAAGUUGACCUUUGCAGGAGCCUCUGCUGGGAUACAAGUGAAGCCCUUCAGCAUCCCCUUCAUCCAAAGCCACAGAUCUCUCCCCGAUUGAUAGGACAUCCAUCAGUUCUUUCAUUGUGUGGAACUAAAUGUUUAUCUCCUACUGAAAUGUUAUGUACACCAGAUAUGGGAAAUUGGAUCUAAAUUCACUGCCUAAAUAUAAAUUUCAAUCUUAUGCUAUGUCCUUCCUUGAAGUCAGAAGAAUGUCCUUUAAGCUGAGAGCAAAGUAGCACCUUAAAUUCCAGAAUCCCUUCUCUUCCUCACCAAUAUGACUCAUGGAGCACCACCUGGGGCUUGGCUGUGGAUCUCUGCAUCCACUUGCAUCAGUCAUUGGAUGUGAGUUCUAUCAUGACAUUUACGGAGUUCAGCCAUCCAAUCACCAG